rnacentral:lncRNA from 1 species
AGGGAGGAUUUGGAUAUAUCACAGAAACCAACAUCCAGUUGAUGUGACGACUCUUCUAGAGUCCUUCCCACAAGGAAGAUUGUGACAUUUCACUGGUCCUGAACCCACUCAGGUGAAGUGACUUUGCUUUCUUCUCCUUGACAACAGGUGAUGUGGUGCCAAAUACCUGAGACCAAAUCAAAGGCCUUAUGAUGACUCUUGUACCUGGAGCCAGGAGGAGCAGGCUGGUGACUCUCAUCCCUGAUUAUUUCCAUGGGUGUUAUUGUGACAUUUACCUUUGCCCACCUGUUGAGUGAUUUGAUAAUUUUUCCUAGUAAUAGCCCACAGAUGACAUUUUAAAUUAUACCUGGGUCAAAAACCUCACUUAUUUUACUCUUGUGUCUUAACAGUGUCCUCAAAUAGGAUUCUAACAUAUCUUUGGACCCAUCAUCUAGGUUAUGUGACUCUCCUCUCCUGCAUGAACACUGCUUCCAAUGAAGAGUGUAGAGUUUGUAAGCACUGAAUCCAAAUGGCCUGAUUUUAUUGUCUAGGCCUUUCAACAGGAGGCAAUGUGACAUACGUCUGGCACCAUCAUUUAGGUGAUAUGACUCUCUUCUCCUGCCUGGACAGUCUCCACAAGAAGCAUUAUGUCAUACAGCUGGGCCCAGUGCCCAAGUUUUGUGACUUUUCUAUUACACGUCUGUAAAGAAAAUAUUGGAAUAUUUCUGGCUUAGAAUUUAUGUGAUGUGUUUGUCCUGCUUGUUUAAGAACCACAGAGGUGAAGUUGACAUAUACCUAUGCACAGCUAACAGGCAUGAUAAUGACUGUCAUAUGUGGAUCAAGCCAAUAGAAAUUUUGCCUUUGCCAAGCACCUGUGUGAUUUCACUCUUCAGACUGGAUGCUGCUGUAUAUGAGACUUUGAUAUCUACUUGGACCAAACUUGGAGUGAUGUGACACUUCUGCCUGGGCCCUGCUCUCAGAUUAUGACAUGUACCUAGUUUCGGAUCAAAGCAUGCUGAUCAAGCUUAUAUUGGGAUACAGUGAAUAGGAGAUAUUUCACCUGUCACCACUUUGUUUACAUCAAAAGGGGGAAUCUUGAUAAAUCACUAAAAUCGGCAUCCUGGUGAUUUGACUCUUCUUCCAUUGUCCUGCCCACAAGAAGGAUUGUGACAUCUUACUGGACCAGCACCCACCUAGAGAGACCGGGUUUCACCAUGGUGCCUAGGCUGGUCUCAAACUUCUGGGCUCAAGCGAUGCGUCUUCCUAGGCCUCCCAAAGUGCUGGGAUUAUAGGCAUGAGCCACCACGCCUGGCCAGAAUCCAAUCAUUAGUGUCUUUGGGUGAUUUGGAAAAUGACAGUCUGCUUAUGAAGUACGUUUGAAGACAGCAAAAACAGAGCUCCCUGGAUCCUCAACAGUAAGGCUGACCUCCCUGUGUGACCUGCCCACCCAACUCCUGGAGCUGUACCAACAGGGCUUCUCUCUGGCAGCCAUGCACCCCUUUGUGCAGCCCACCCAUGGACAGGAGAAGACACCCCUGGAGCAUAUCUUUAGGGCCAUCCUCAUCAAGAAAACCGACAGAUCUGCAACUUGGGCAGGACUUGGCAGAGGCACCUAAUCUCCAUUUCUCAUGGUAUCAACUGGUAGUUUGGUGGUAGCUAGGGGAUCUGCUUUCAAGAUGAAACACUCACAUGGCUGGCAAGUUGGUGUUUACUGUAGGCCUCUCCACAGACUGCUAUUCCUCAAAACAUGGCAACUGAGUUCUAAGAGCAAACAUCACAAGAGAAGAAGGGAAAAGUUCAUGGAAUGUUGAUGACUAUCCUGUGGAAGUCACAUAAUGGUCUUUUUCAGCUACUCAUUGGUUGAGGCCAUCAUAAAGACCUAUAGUGGUUCAAGUAGAGGGGACAUGGGUUCCAACUCUUGAUGGAGGAAUGGCAAAGUUCUAGCAGACCAUGUGGAACAAGAGAUAUUGUUGUGGCCAUCUUUGGAAAAUAAAGUCUGCCACAUACAUGAA